rnacentral:siRNA from 1 species
UAGAGGGUGCACUAACAAUCU